GCGUAGGUUGAGGGAGCUGGUGCCGGAGCAAGCAAAAAGUCAUUCCUCAAUUACAUGCCACAAAACUUCCUGUAUUGUUCAAAUUCAGGCGACUCUGUCAGAGAGAGCUCUUGAACUACUUGCAUUGCUUGAUGACAGCGUUCCUAAAUUACUCCUUGAUAUCGAUAAUUUAAAUUUUAAUUCAAUUUAGCUAUUCUCUGUCGCUUUUUUCGAAUUUUAUUGGCUUAUAAAUAAUCGAUGUAGGUUGUGGAUCAGGACUUAGCGGUGAGACAAUCUCGGAGAAUGGACACCAUUGGAUUGGGCUUGAUAUUUUAGCAUCAAUGCUUAGUAUGUUAAGUUUUGAAAUAUUGUUUGUUAUUCCUAUUUAUUUUGAAUUUUUAUAUAUUUGUAUAAGAUGUUGCGGUGGAGCGAGAGAUUGAGGGUGACCUUUUACUUGGUGACAUGGGUCAGGGUCUAGGAAUUUGUCCUGAAGUUAUGGAUGGGGCCAUCAAUAUAUCUGUUGUUCAGGCUCUUCAAACUGUUGGAAAUUCUCUUAACUUCAAUCCAAGCAAGUUGACGCUGUCCAACAGAUUAAAGAUUUCUAUAAGAUCUCCAUAAUCAAGUGACAAGGAGAUUCAUGCAUGCGAAAAAAAUCCAAAAAGAGACACAAACAAGAUACAUAGAGAGUCAGAUGGUUAGGGGAGGAUAACCAACAAGAGGGAAGAUGGGUAUCAUGAUUUGGCAUCCCUUUUUCAUGUGAUAAGUCUAGGUGACAUAAUUAAGUUCUCUUUGUCACCUUCAAAAACCAAGGAUAGCCUGUCAACCAACGUGUCUGGGGUGCCCCUUGAUGAUAGAAAUUUGGAAGAAGACUGGAAGUGACAAGUACUUUGGGAUUCAUCUUGAUAAAUGGGUGCCUACUGGGGCAGGGCUUGGCGGUGGAAGUAGCAAUGCUGCAACUGCACUAUGGGCAGCAAAUCAAUUUAGUGGUUGUCCUGCCUCUGAGAAAGAACUCCAAGAAUGGUCAAGUGAGAUUGGAUCAGAUAUUCCCUUCUUUUUCUCUCAGGGAGCAGCCUAUUACACUGGUCGAGGAGAGGUUGUUCAGAAUAUUCCUCCACCAGUAUCUCUAGAUGUUCCAAUGGUUCUCAUAAAGCCCCCAGAAGCAUGUUCAACUGCCGAAGUCUACAAGCCAAGGGAAGUAAAGCAGUUGCUGAAUCUGGACGAGCCACCCCAGGUAAAAGUACAAAGCAGUCUUCAUAAAAGAAAGGUGGUCCUUCUUGUGUGUCUCCAGAGCCCACUGAUAUAAUUUAGUUUACAGAAAUUCCUUCAUCGCCAAACACAAUGAAGGAACUGGGCGUGGUUGCAAUCCUGUUGCCAAUAGAGUUCUUUGACGUGAUCGUCUACACUAUAAGCAAAGCAGCCAUGAAGAAGGGCAUGAAUGACUCUGUGUUCAGAUGCUCAGGUUUUUUGGAAUAGGUUACUGCUCUCCCAUUUUGGCCACUGCAAUGUCUGAUUUAAUCCCUGCUUUUACCUUCAUACUUGCCAUCGUCUUCAGGAUCAAAAAAUUGGAUUGGAAAACUAACAGUACUUGGGCCAAGUCCAUUGGCACAUUGGUAUCAAUCGCUGGAGCCUUAAUAAUUACUCUGUACAAAGGCCAAGCAGUCAUAAAGAAUCAUCCAUCAAAUAAAUUGUUCCCCAAAAAACAUGUUUCAUCUGAACAAUUUGACUGGGUAUUAGGGGCAGUGUUGCUUGCGGGUCAUAGCUUUGUUCUCUCAUUGUUGUUCAUAGUUCAGACAUGGAUAAUCAGAAAUUACCCUACAGAGCUUGUGAUAGUGCUCACUCGCAGUACAUUAGUUGCUAUGCUAUCUAUCCCACCUUCACUGAUUUCGGUAACAGAUCCAAAAGCUUUGAGAUUAGGAUUUGAUGUGAAUUUGAUAGCUAUUGCAUUCCAAGCAAUUUUUGGUGUAUCCCUUCGAAGUAUUGUUCAUAUAUGGGUCAUGAGCAAGAAGGGCCCUCUCUAUGUUGCAAUGGUUAAGUCAAUUGGAAUCAUCUUUGCGGUCAUCAUGGGAAUUGCAUUUCUUGGUGACUCUAUCUAUCUUGGAAGGCAUACGUUUCUUUCAUGUCUUAAUCAUAUGAAAAAUUGGAGUGUGCUUGGAGCAGCCAUUAUUUGGGGGAAAAGCCAAGAGCAAGCAAAGGAAGAGUGUGAAGUCUAUGAUGACUCGGAAUCAUACUCACCCGUUGUCCCUCUUUUGAAGAACAAGAGAAUGGAGGAAUAGAAUCAUAGCAAUCAUUUAAUUUCUCUAGCUUCAAUAUAAAUGUCUCAUGUAAUAUUUUGAAAACAAAUUGAAUUAAUAAAAAAAAAUUAGUCAUAGUUCAGUUG